rnacentral:lncRNA from 12 species
CUCCUAACUCUUUUUAUUAUUAUUAUUAUUAUUUUUUAACCAUUUCUUAAUAGUAAGUAGAUCCUGGAGCAGGAAGGGUGGGGACAGUGUGAGAAUAAAAGGAGCAGAUUGAAAAAGCUGUCUGUGCAUUUAUCCCACAGAGAUCCCUCUCCAUUUGGGGCUUGAGAAGCUGAUCUACAAAUCCCUUCAUAUGCAAAAGAUGGACAAACGCUCCAAAAGAAGGUCUGAAUGGUAAUGGAGGUAGAACAAAAAUGGAAAUUUCUGGAUCUGUCAUCCAAAUAAAUAUUAGAAGCAAAAUGGCCAUUAUUAAACAGCCGAAAAAACUUCCCCCAAACAGGAUUGACAACAGCAAGCAUUCUGAAAGGAAUAAGAAGUUCUUUACAUUUUUAAGAUGUAAUUCAACACGUAGAAUGUCAAAUCCUCUUCGUUAG